AGUGAACGUUGGCGGCGUGGAUUAGGCAUGCAAGUCGAGCGAGAACCGUAGCAAUACGGGGACAGCGGCGAAAGGGACAGUAAUGUGUAGGUACCUACCCCGAGGUCUGGGAUAGCUGCGGGAAACUGCAGGUAAUACCGGAUAAUGUCUUCGGACCAAAGGUGUGAUUCCACCUUGGGAGGGGCCUGCAUCCUAUUAGCUUGUUGGCGGGGUAACGGCCCACCAAGGCGACGAUGGGUAGCGGGUGUGAGAGCACGACCCGCGUCAUUGGGACUGAGACACUGCCCAGACACCUACGGGUGGCUGCAGUCGAGGAUCUUCGGCAAUGGGCGCAAGCCUGACCGAGCGACGCCGCGUGCGGGAUGAAGGCCUUCGGGUUGUAAACCGCUGUCGUAGAGGAGGAAAUGCAGGGGGGUUCUCCCUUCUGUUUGACCUAUUCUAGGAGGAAGGACGGGCUAAGUUCGUGCCAGCAGCAGCCGCAG
rnacentral:rRNA from 1 species